rnacentral:rRNA from 1 species
GUGUCAGCAGCCGCGGUAAUACGUAGGGAGCAAGCGUUGUCCGGAUUUACUGGGUGUAAAGGGUGCGUAGGCGGCUCUGCAAGUCAGGCGUGAAAGCUAUGGGCUUAACCCAUAGACUGCGUUUGAAACUGUGGAGCUUGAGUGAAGUAGAGGUAGGCGGAGUUCCCGGUGUAGCGGUGAAGUGCGUAGAGAUCGGGAGGAACACCAGUGGCGAAGGCGGCCUACUGGGCUUUAACUGACGCGGAG